rnacentral:tRNA from 1 species
GGGGCUGUAGCGCAGAAGUCGUCGCGCAUGGCAGCACCCAUGAGGACGCCGGUGCGAAUCCGGCCGGCCCUG